rnacentral:rRNA from 1 species
CCUACGGGUGGCAGCAGUGAGGAAUAUUGGUCAAUGGACGCAAGUCUGAACCAGCCAUGCCGCGUGCAGGAUGACGGCUCUAUGAGUUGUAAACUGCUUUUGUACGGGGGUAAACCCCGAUACGUGUAUCGGGUUGAAAGUAUCGUACGAAUAAGGAUCGGCUAACUCCGUGCCAGCAGCCGCGGUAAUACGGAGGAUCCGAGCGUUAUCCGGAUUUAUUGGGUUUAAAGGGUGCGUAGGCGGUUUGAUAAGUUAGAGGUGAAAUGUCGGGGCUCAACCCCGAAAGUGCCUCUAAUACUGGUGUACUAGAGUGUACGUGAGGUAGGCGGAAUGUAUGGUGUAGCGGUGAAAUGCUUAGAGAUCACACAGAACACCGAUUGCGAAGGCAGCUUACCAAACUAUAACUGACGUUGAGGCACGAAAGUGUGGGUAGCAAACAGGAUUAGAUACCCUGGUAGUC